GGAUAGACACGCACUUUCCGACUUUAAAUAUGGUUCCUAACCCAGACUACACAAAAGACCUUCCAUUGGCACGACGUUGGUAUCCGCGUUGGGAGGCUAUCCCUUAUGAUACAUUCUACUAGGACUUAUUGGACAACUUGCGCACAGAUGAGGUGAAUUUUGACCCGUACAAUACCCGCAGGCGAGUUGUCCCAGAUAUUGCCUUCUACACCGGUCCGAUUCGUUACAUGGAUGACGUACCUUCCUGACAUAAUGUUGAGGCAGUUUGGUCUACAAUAGGUAAAACCCGCAGAUCCUAUAGCACCCAGGCAUGCAAAGAGAGGGCAAUGCUCCUACAAAGUUGAUUACGACUAGGCAGCCGGAUUUUGGGUUAGCUCUCAGUGCCACUUCGUGCUUCUAGAUAUUCGAGUCCGUAUAGGAUCUAGUAGGAGUGUCCCGUCGUGUAGUCCGAAAUACCUUCCGUGGUUUAGGAGUGUUGCGCACCCGAGGGUUGGAUGUGAUAAGUCAUCUGUUCGGGGACGUGCACGCAAGAAGGAGGUACUCACUGUGUUGGAGGUGGUAGACAGGGCUGUGGGCGAUACUAAACUUGGAGCUGUGGAGUUGCGUGCGACACUGCAGGAGGUACAGGCCAUUCUACGACUGAAAGUUGUUAUUUAUAGGAAGCGAGGUGUUGGGGCUUCAAGCUGAGGGUAGAGCUAGGGUUUAUGAUGUUAAACAGUCAUUGGUUGUAUAUUUUGGUUGGCGGACAGAAAAGCUUUCUAUCUGUGGAUGUUUAAGGAUGUCAGAUAUUUGAUAUUUAGAAAUGUUGGGCUAUGAUGUCCGACAUAUUUUGUUUGGUUUAUGAUGUAAAUUGUGGUUGCAUGUGUUUUUGUAGAUGUCGACACCAACAAAAUCUAGUCCCUAAAAUUCAGUCUA